rnacentral:rRNA from 1 species
AACGAACGCUGGCGGCGUGCUUAACACAUGCAAGUCGAACGAUGAAGCCCAGCUUGCUGGGUGGAUUAGUGGCGAACGGGUGAGUAACACGUGAGUAACCUGCCCUUAACUCUGGGAUAAGCCUGGGAAACUGGGUCUAAUACCGGAUAGGAGCGUCCACCGCAUGGUGGGUGUUGGAAAGAUUUAUCGGUUUUGGAUGGACUCGCGGCCUAUCAGCUUGUUGGUGAGGUAAUGGCUCACCAAGGCGACGACGGGUAGCCGGCCUGAGAGGGUGACCGGCCACACUGGGACUGAGACACGGCCCAGACUCCUACGGGAGGCAGCAGUGGGGAAUAUUGCACAAUGGGCGCAAGCCUGAUGCAGCGACGCCGCGUGAGGGAUGACGGCCUUCGGGUUGUAAACCUCUUUCAGUAGGGAAGAAGCGAAAGUGACGGUACCUGCAGAAGAAGCACCGGCUAACUACGUG